UAAGGGAGGAAAUAUUGGUUCCACUGUAAAAUUAUUUGAGCAAUAUUUAAUGUUAGUAACUGAGGCAUUUCCAGCUUUUAUUUUCAAGAAUCUUAAAACUGGACUGAGGAAAGCUCUCAAGGCUGCAGAGAGUUGUACUAAGAAUGUUGUGAGGGAUAGAGUGGGUAAUUGUGGGACACCGAGAAUCAUACACUUUCCCUUAACUUCAUCCUUGUAACAGUUGCAUGCUAAGUUUGUGCUUAAGAGUUUUUAAACAUAAAGCUCAUCUAUUAGAAAAUGUUUAAAAGCUCUUAUCUGGCUGAAUUCUAACUUCCCUUUCAGCUUUAAAAUCCCAAUUUCUGCAUUUUUAUAAAACCUACCCUAAUAACUCAAAGUGAUAACUUACUUUUACAGUCAGAAUACUUAUUUUCUAUAUUAUUUUUGAUAGCUUAUUCUGACAAUUACAAUUUACAUUAUACUUUACAUAUAAUACCUGACAAAUUUUUAUUUGUAUUGUCUAUAGUGAUUGCCAAUUAAAAGCUAUAGAGUUUCAAAUGCUCUAAAAAUGUGGUAGAAGCCCUGUACCUACAUGUACAUAGUAGGGGGUCAGUACAUAUUCAUUCAGUUGGAUUGUGUGCCAUCUACCAAUGAUCCUUUUUACCUCUCUGACAGAGAUUUCAUUCAUCACAUUCAGAGUAUAUAGGAAGAAAAUCAUAAACAUUUGAGAGAUAUAUUUCCUACCCUAAAUGCCAUCACAUAAAAUUAGAAAGAUCUUCUCUUUAAAGAAAAGUCUUCUCUUUAGAUUCAUCUUCAUCUAAAUUACCUCUAUACCUCUAAUCUGACUUUUGUUUAUUCCUAAUAUAAAGGAAGUUGUAGGCAGGGAGUUGACUAUUACGACAUAAUAAAGUUUUUUUUUUCAUGUUGUAGAAUUAGGGCGUUAUUUUUCUUCAUGGCUCUGACUUAACUUCUAUUCAUGCUGCCGAUCAUUUGUUUCACAAUGAAAUUCAUCUCAAUGCGUUAUUGGGUUUCUACCUUUGUGCUGGUAGAUAGGUAAUGUCAGAGUAUCUGCAAGAGUCAAAUAAAGGAAGAGUUCAGUACACUAUGUAAGUAGCUUUCAUGUAGCACUUUAUUUUCUUUCAUUUCACUAUUUCAUUUUAUUUAUUUUAUUUUAUUGCUGAGUUGGUAUAAGCAAAGCUGUGUGUGGGUCAGAGGGAAGCACAAAAAUGCUACAAAGAGUUGAGGUAAUAAAUGAUAUCAUUUUUGGAAAAGAUGCCCAACCGGUAGCAGGAAAACCUCUUAUUCUCAAGUUCAAACUUUUAUUCAUUUGCAUAUUUGAGGAAUAUUUACAGAAUGCCUUCUAUAUAAUAACUUUGCUUGACACAGAGGAGAUAGAUCUUUGCAGGAUAAUUCCUGCCCUCCAGAAACAUUCAAGGAAAAAUAAAAUAAAAGAGAUAAAACUUUUCUUGAAGUAAUAUGUGUCUAGCACAGUUAUGGCACAAGGGAGAGGCUUAAUAAAAAUUAGCCAAAAUUACUUAGUAGCAAAAAUAAAUUUUGUUCAAUCCACACACUGAAAUCUAUAGAUGCACUUAAGCCUUCUUUCAAACUGUAAAUGCUCACAGAAUUCUCUGGUGUCUCAGAAGUUAAAGGGUCUGAUGUUGUCACUGCGUGGCUCUAGUUAGUGCUGUGGCAUGAAUUCAAUCCCUGGCCCAGGAAAUUUCACUUGUUGUGGGUGUGGCCAAAUAUGUAUACAUAUUUUCAAAGAUAGUGUGUAACUCAUUUCUUAGAUUUUCAGACGAUCAGAAGAGGCUAAUUAAAUAGAGGCUUACAUAGACAAGUAAGAAAUAUGGAAAAAUGAAAGACUGAUAGCAAUGUGUAUGACAAAAGUUAUAAAAGCCCACAUGCAAUAACAACAAACAGACAAAUAAAGAAAAAUAAAAACUAUAUUAUUCAGAAGCUUCUUAGUGUGGGGCAAACAGAACUGGCAUAGGAGCCUUCAGAAUAGACUAUAAGGGACAUACAGAUAGACAAGAGUCAAGUAGCAUUGAGCACUAGGCUUUCUUCAAAUUAUUAUGUGAUUUGCUUUUUGCAAAGACCCUUCUGAUGUAACUUGCACUAGUUAACAAAUGAGGAUUUGAAGGCUUCAAGUAGUCAAGAGGUAUAUUCAACAUGAAUCAGAAACUUGAAGUUCAAGAUGUUAAAUUAAUUUAAAUAUGUUUUCUUUUUCUUUUUUUUAUGACUAUAUUGUUCCCAGUCUAGGGCUUGAAAUGGAGCUGUAGCUGCAGGCCUACACCACAGCCACUGCAACACUGGAUCCAAGACACAUCUGUAACCAACAAAACAGCUUGUGGCAAUGCUGGAUCAUUAACCCACUGAUUGAGUCCGGAGAUCUAACUUGUAUCCUAACUGAGAUUAUAUCAGGUUCUUCAUCCGCUGAGCCACAAUGGGAACUCCUAAAUAUGUAAAUUUGACUGGAUCUUUGAGUUUCAGAGCUGCUUGGGGACAACACUGUUGAGGCAAUACAUAAUUAUAACUCUGUAAAUAGAAUUUAAAAAUCUCCUAAACUCUAAUCUUAUUAGAGGUAAUAACCUUAAUUUAGAGAAAAAUUAAUAUAGCCUCAUUCAAAUAUGUAAAGAAGCCAAGAGUUUAUUCAAGAAUAGUAUGUCAAAUAUGCUAGUGACCUGAUCAGGAAAAGCUCAUUCUGCUAAUUUCAUCCCGAGAUCCUUAAGACUUGGCAGAAUUCCAGAUAAAAAUUCAACAUUCAGUCAGCAUGAUUUAGAAAUUGUUGAUAACUUUACAUUCUGGUUAUCAUUUGUUUAUUUUGUUGCUGCUCCACCCAGUUGCUUAAAGUAAUGAAAAGGGAUCAUAGAAUUUUCUUUCCCUCUUUUUUCUUUAUUCUCUUCAUCAACUACUCCUACUCUUUUCUUCUCAGACAGAUAAUUAUUACAAUCAUUUCCCCUGGUCCAGAGUGGUCAUAGACAAACACUUUCUCUUCCAGGGACUUUUCUGUGUCAGAACUUCCUUAUAUGGUGAAGUUGGUCAGGAAAUCCUCUUCAUAUCUCAUAUGCAUGGUAAAUAACCCUUGUAUAUUCUUUUUGUACUUAUUCCUUUAAAAGUUAACCCCCAAUAAGUUAGUGCCUAACAUCAUAAAAUGGUUUUUUAUAUAUUCUAGUUUUCUUUUUUUUUUUUUCUUUUUAGGGCCUCAGCUGUAUUUCCCAGGCUCGGGGUCAAAUUAGAGCUACAGCUGCUGGCCUACACCACAGCCACAUAAAUGCUGGAUCCUAACCACAUCUGCAGUCCACACCACAGCUUGCAGCAAUGCCAGAUCCUUAACCUACUGAGCAAGCCCAGGGAUUGAACCUGUAUCCCCAUGGAUAUUAUGUUAGGUUCUUAACCCAAUGAGCCACCACAGGACUUCCUAUACGCUAGUUUUUAAUUGCCCAGUUAUACUAGACAUUUAAAUGUAUCACAACUUUACUGUGUUUUGAUUUCCUUCAUUGUCAUCUACUUUACUUCUAAGUAUCUUGCAGUGCUAUAUGGACUAGCUUAUACUUCAUAUGUAUAUCCUAAAAGCCCCUAGAAGAAGUCAUAGACUCCCCCUGCAACAUCUUCUUCAUGUAGUUGUCUUUGCAGUUAAGAAUAUGGGGUAUGACAGUUAAAAUGACUUGUGCUAUUUAUAAGGAUAAGACCUUGGACAAUUUUCUCGAAAUUCCCCAUUUUAUAAAAGUCUUUUCUGAAAUGGGAACAAUAAUACUUAACUUACAGUUGACCGUAAGAUUACUUGGCAUAGGUUAUUUAGAGCAGAUACUGAGCUCUCAAUAAAAGAGUGAGCAUGAUUAAUUUUAUAAUUGUUUUUAUUAUCUAACAAGUAUCUAAAAUGAUAGAGGACUCAAAGAUUUGUUGAUGAUGAUAACAAAAGCUCAAGAGAAACUAAAAUUCUACUCCUUGUUCCUUACUGUACCAAUCAGUGGUAGAGCCCCAAUUCCCCAGAAAACUCUACACUUACUUUUGAGAUUUCUGUGAUUCAGUUGGCUAAGUAAGUAGUAAAUAAUGGUUCAUUUCAUGUUUCCUCAUUUCACAUUCCAGUCUCCUUCCUCUUUUACCCUCCCAACUGCUCAAUAUCCUCCUGAAAUUAAGGUGGCUGCCAAGGAACCCCAGAGAAGUAUGCCUUCCCAUAAUCAAUUGUCUAAAAAAAAAAAAAAAGAAGAAUAUGUUGGGCUUAUCAUUAAAAAACAUGCACAUGAUUUUCAGCUCCACCAUAAGCUAAAUCUGUAACUUUAGCUAAGACUGGUAGCCUCUCUCUGCUAGUGGUUACAUAACUGCAAAAUGGGAUGGAAAUUCCUGCCUUUCUCACAAGAAAUUUGUAAAGAUUGAAUAAAGUAAACGUUUUCUAUGUAUGUGAAUACACUUGACAUCUAUGGUGAUAUCUAAAUGUUAGUCAUUCUAUUCUAUAAUCUUCGUGGUCCAGAUCAUGUUUUUGUAAAUAUUCUUCUUUCAAAAUGCGUCACUUCUAUAUGCAUUUCUUCAGUCUCCAGUUUAAUUCUUUUUAAUCUGUCACAUAAUAAUAUAAAAAUGUUAUCAAUUUUAAUUGGUACUUGUUGAUAGAUAAUGCAACACACAUGGAAUAUUUGGAUUUUAUGGAAGGCUUCAAGAAACAAAAAUUUACUAUCAGGAGUGCAUCUAAAGAAAAUAAUAGUUUUCUCUCAGCUCAUAUUGGAGAAUUUUGAGAAAUAUAUUUGAACUUUGUUAUAAGACAAUUUAUUUUCAGCCUCCUAUAAACAAAGAUGACUCCCUACUGUAUAUAGAAUAGAACUUAAACCAUUCUACUUUGCAUUAAACUCUACAUCUCAUUAUCUAUCAACAAGGAAUAGAGGCAGAUUUGAUUUUAUAGUUAUCUAUUUUAUGAUAGAUGGAGUAAGAGGCAUGCUGAUGCUGCAAACUUGAAAUAGUUUGGAAGGGAGAGGUGGAAUUCAAGUCAUACUUAGAUGUAAAAAUUAAAAAGAAAAAAGUUAGCUAUUUGCUUCAUGUUAAUUGAACUGUGUCUAGAUAUAGCCUCCUUAUCCACUAGAGGUCAGAAUUACACAGCACACUCAAACAACAGUCAGUGGUGAGCCUGAAAGAAGGGACCAGAAAUCACCAUUUGGAAAUGGUUUUGAGCAUUGUGUGUAAAGAGUACACUGAGAGCAUUUGCCAUAUGCCUGCCAGGUCUAAUUAUAUGUUAAAAGGUAAGAACAUGCAAUUGGCACUUUGACUUGCUCAGCCUAUUUUUCCAGUCUUAUUUUUCUCUAUUCCCGCAGAAGAUACCACUUGGAACUAGAUUUAAAAGAGACUGUCUCCAACUCUGGAGGUCAUAUUGCUGACAGCCACCAAGGCAGGACAAUUUGACAUUGAAGAACUCAAAAUCUUCCCUGUGAAAUAGGAUUCACAGAGGCAAUAUGUAUUAUUAACCUGUGGAAAACCAUUGUAAAUACAUUUAACUUCCCGAAAGCAAAAUAAAACAGUGU
rnacentral:lncRNA from 1 species